UACGGAGGGGGCAAGCGUUGUUCGGAUUUACUGGGCGUAAAGGGUCCGUAGGCGGUUGCAUAAGUCUGGUGUGAAAUCUUCGCCGCUUAACGGGAAGAAGCCACUGGAAACUGCGUAACUUGAGUAUGGUAGAGGCAAGCGGAAUUCCUGGUGUAGCGGUGGAAUGUGUAGAUAUCAGGAAGAACAUCUGUGGCGAAGGCGGCUUGCUGGGCCAUCACUGACACUGAGGGACGAAAGCGUGGGGAGCAAACGGG
rnacentral:rRNA from 1 species